rnacentral:misc_RNA from 1 species
GAUUUGGGCCGGCAGCGGAAAUGGCAAGAAGCUCAUGGGACUUGAAUCCCUCUGCAGAAGAGUGGGUAAGGAUAUUUAGAUGGGUUAGAGAAGCAGCAAUGGAAGGGUAUGCUUCGAGGGCUGGUGGCAGAUCUUCUGUCCAGCAGUAGAAAUGGGACAGAUCAAGCCAAGCAAGUGAACUGUUAUGCUCAAACAGUGCAACAAAUUCAGAACCCGGAGCCGUAGGUGAUCUCUGGUGCCAGCGAACGAGCUUAACCUUGCU